rnacentral:rRNA from 1 species
CGGUAAUUCCAGCUCCAAUAGCGUAUAUUAAAGUUGUUGCAGUUAAAAAGCUCGUAGUUGAACUUUGGGCCUGGGCGGGCGGUCUACCUAUGGUAAGUACUGUUGCGGCCGGGUCUUUUCCUUCUGGCUAACUCUUCGGAGUGAACCAGGACGAUUACUUUGAGGAAAUUAGAGUGUUCAAAGCAGGCCUUUGCUCGGAUAUAUUAGCAUGGAAUAAUAGAAUAGGACGUUAUGGUUCUAUUUUGUUGGUUUCUAGGACCAUCGUAAUGAUUAAUAGGGACGGUCGGGGGCAUCAGUAUUCAGUUGUCAGAGGUGAAAUUCUUGGAUUAACUGAAGACUAACUACUGCGAAAGCAUUUGCCAAGGACGUUUUCAUUAAUCAAGAACGAAAGUUAGGGGAUCGAAGAUGAUCAGAUACCGUCGUAGUCUUAACCAUAAGCUAUGCCGACUAGGGAUCGGGUGGCGCUUCUUGCCCACUCGGCACCUUACGAGAAAUCAAAGUCUUUGGGUUCUGGGGGGAGUAUGGUUGCAAGGCUGAAACUUAAAGGAAUUGACGGAAGGGCACCACCAGGAGUGGAGCCUGCGGCUUAAUUUGACUCAACACGGGGAAACUCACCAGGUCCAGACGUAAUAAGGAUUGACAAGCUAGAGACUUCUCUUGAUCUUACGGGUGGUGGUGCAUGGCCGUUUUUAGUCCUUGGAGUGAUUUGUCUGCUUAAUUGCGAUAACGGACGAGACCUUAACCUGCUAAAUAGGGCUGCGAGCAUCUGCUCGUGGGCUCUUCUUAGAGGGACUAUGGGUUUCAAACCCAUGGAAGUUUGAGGCAACAACAGGUCUGUGAUGCCCUUAGACGUUCUGGGCCGCACGCGCGCUACACUGACGGAGCCAGCAAGUAUAUCCUUGGUCGAGAGGCCCGGGUAAUCUCGUGAAACUCCGUCGUGCUGGGGAUAGAGCAUUGUAAUUUUUGCUCUUCAACGAGGAAUUCCUAGUAAGCGCAAGUCAUCAGCUUGCGUUGAUUACGUCCCUGCCCUUUGUACACACCGCCCGUCGCUACUACCGAUUGAAUGGCUUAGUGAGGCUUCAAGAUUGGCGCCGCGGGAGGGGCAACUUUCCCAUGGCGCUGAAAAUUCAGUCAAACUUGGUCAUUUAGAGGUCGUAAAAGUCGUAACAAGGUAGCCG